rnacentral:rRNA from 1 species
UCCAGACUCCUACGGGAGGCAGCAGUGGGGAAUAUUGCACAAUGGGGGGAACCCUGAUGCAGCGACGCCGCGUGGGUGAAGGAGCACCUCGGUGCGUAAAGCCCUAUCAGCAGGGAAGAAGAAAUGACGGUACCUGAGUAAGAAGCACCGGCUAAAUACGUGCCAGCAGCCGCGGUAAUACGUAUGGUGCAAGCGUUAUCCGGAUUUACUGGGUGUAAAGGGGGCGCAGACGGCGAUGCAAGCCAGGAGUGAAAGCCCGGGGCCCAACCCCGGGACUGCUCUUGGAACUGCGUGGCUGGAGUGCAGGAGGGGCAGGCGGAAUUCCUGGUGUAGCGGUGAAAUGCGUAGAUAUCAGGAGGAACACCGGUGGCGAAGGCGGCCUGCUGGACUGCAACUGACGUUGAGGCCCGAAAGCGUGGGGAGCAAACAGGAUUAGAUACCCCUGUACG